UGGGCUCUGGAUAGUCAACAAAGGG
rnacentral:piRNA from 1 species